CUCCCCCAGCUGCAAGGGAGGCUGUGAAAUGAAGUCUCUAGUUGGAUAGCAGUAAGUCCUGCUGAGUUCAGCAGUUGCUGUUCCUAAAAGGAAGAAAUGGGUAGAAUGGAUAUUGGUGGACAUUUAGAGACAAGGAAACUGGACAACUCUAGACUGUUGCCAGGAGUCAGGAGAAGACAACAGACGAUGGUACUUAAGGCUUUGGCUUUGGAAAAAGAGAUACCUGGAUUCUGAUCCUGAAGUCUCUCACUUAAACUUUACAAGUCUCACUUUCUCAUCAGAUAACCUUAUCUUGUACAAGAUUCAUGUGUUGGUGAGCUCAUUUCCACCAGAACUCAGCCCAGGCUGCUGUGGGAUGGAAUCACCUGCACCCGGAUGUUCUUUCUGGGCUGGUACAUACAGUUUCACCAGCAACAGAGAAAGCAGAAGCCAUCCUGGGCAAACCUGGACAGGUGGUCACCGUGUGAAACCUGAAGUCCCCUUUGAUCCUCCCAUCUGGUUACAACCACCCCCAAUCAGAGCUGCCUGGACCUUGCCCGGCCUCCUCCUCACUCACCGAGCCACCGGAAUAAAGUUGGAAGUGUUUGUGCUGUACUUUAAUCAGCAUUUAAUGACCCAGUCGAAAAUUCAUUGUUUGGACCCAAGCACUGGUGGGAAAGGCAGGAGGGGAGGCCUGCCUUCCUUCCUCCCUCCCGAGCCCUACAGCAGGCCAUGGAGUGGUGAGCGAGUUCGUACAGUGCCAACCACAUUCCCAGAAACUUCCAGCAGAGGUUAAUCCUGCUCCUCUCAGGUAGGAGACAAUGAAUGGAUUUUAACAAAUGGACUCCCUGUGUUAGCUAAUGCCAGUCCCUACUCAACCUAGGAUGACUCCAAUGGCGCAUGUCCCCAUUCCCGGGCCCUAAGGCUGCGCUAACAUGCUAUCCUGCCUGCCCCUUCAUUCUCCACCCUGCCACAUUCCCACUCCUUUCCCCUCCCAACACGAAGCCAUGCCUGAGCUGGACACCCUUCCAUACCAACCCAGGAAAAAGUGAUUCAGCUCCGGUCCACCCUGGGUGCAGCGGUCCUUCUGCCAAGAUGCCUUCAUAUCAUACAGCUAUUAUUUUCGGGAGGAUUCCAAGUGAGGGCAGUCAGGGUGGGCUUGGCCCAUUCUCUAGACUUUGGAAGGUAAUGUUCUAUAGAGGCCUGUUCUGAAGCUUUACCAGGUCAAACCGGAGAAGAACCCAACAAGUAACUCAUCCCAGCCUAACUAUUCUUCAAGGGCAAUCAACCUACAGCAUCCAAGCACAGAGAAAUCAAAUCCAUGGAGAAUCUUCAAAUUAGGCUCAGAAUCCAUUUGGGUCAAUGAAUUUACUGUUAUUAAGAUCUUAGUUGUGUUCAACCAUGAUUUGACAUACCUUAGAGUGAGAAGAUAUUCUUCCUGGCCUCAGACUAGUUGAAGGUAGAGAGAGAGACAGGCCCUUGGGUGUGGGGAGACCUCUCCUGGGAUAAUACACACAAAAAACCAAGAGCUGCUCACUGUGGUGCAGGAGACAGCAGGGCCUGAAGCCAGAGGCUCUGUGUCCUUGAAUACAAUGUUUUACUCCUCUGACCCCUGUUACUGUGAUUUGGAGAGGCAGACAAUAUAGGAUGGGCUUUGCAGGCAGGGAGGUCCAGUUAUAAUCCCAGCUCUUACUAAGUUGGGUAAGACUCACUCUGAGACUUAGUUUCUUCUGUCAUCUCUCAAUAGAAUCAUAAAGGUACUUUCCUCUUAGUGUUGUUUUAAAAUUCAGUAAAAUAAUGCAGGCUUAGCACAGGGUCUGAUGUAAAUUUUCAAUGAAUUAUCGUUGUCAAUAUUGUUCUGGAAAACAAGAGGGCAUAUUAGAAGAUCAAAAGUACUGCCAAGCAUUGAAGUGCCAAUUCUAGAUCCAGUCUCAGCCCUCUGAGAAUGGAUAUCAUUGUUUUCAAGCCAUUCAGAAACCAAUGUGAAUUGAACACCUAGUAUGAGCUCUCUGAGGGAAGAGCCAAGUCAUGCAUUUUUUAUCUUAAGGGGUCUUCAAUACCUCUAGCCCAAAACAGUAUCUCCAUCAGGAUUCUUCUCUGAUAGUGUUCAUUUCUUUUUUCUCAAUGGAUGCCUUAAAAAAAAAAUCCUACAAGGAAACCUGUACUCCUCAAAUACACCACUCAGGUGACCAUUAAAUCAUUUACAUUGUUAAUUUCUUUUCAGAU
rnacentral:lncRNA from 1 species